AUUAAAUAUGUAAAUAUUCAUAUGCCAUUUAUUGUAAGCCAUAUAAAAAAAAAUGUAACUUUCAGGUUCAUCCGAUUUGCUGGGAUUCUGCAUCAGUUACUCAGUCAAACUGUCAAAAUACAAUUUUAAAAGAUAAUAGUUAAUUUAGUAUUUUACACACACGCACACACACACACACACACACACACACACACAGUCUCUCACUCACUCUCUCACACACACACACACACACAGUCUCUCACUCACUCUCUCACACACACACACACACACAGUCUCUCACUCACUCUCUCACACACACACACACACACAGUCUCUCACUCACUCUCUCACACACACACACACACACAGUCUCUCACUCACUCUCUCACACACACACACACACACAGUCUCUCACUCACUCUCUCACACACACACACACACACAGUCUCUCACUCACUCUCUCACACACACACACACACACAGUCUCUCACUCACUCUCUCACACACACACACACACACAGUCUCUCACUCACUCUCUCACACACACACACACACACAGUCUCUCACUCACUCUCUCACACACACACACACACACAGUCUCUCACUCACUCUCUCACACACACACACACACACAGUCUCUCACUCACUCUCUCACACACACACACACACACAGUCUCUCACUCACUCUCUCACACACACACACACACACAGUCUCUCACUCACUCUCUCACACACACACACACACACAGUCUCUCACUCACUCUCUCACACACACACACACACACAGUCUCUCACUCACUCUCUCACACACACACACACACACAGUCUCUCACUCACUCUCUCACACACACACACACACACAGUCUCUCACUCACUCUCUCACACACACACACACACACAGUCUCUCACUCACUCUCUCACACACACACACACACACAGUCUCUCACUCACUCUCUCACACACACACACACACACAGUCACUCACUCACUCUCUCACUCUCUCACACUCAUUCACUCUCACACUCUCACUCUCACAUUCACUCACUCACACUCACUCACUCUCGCACUCACUCUCACACACUCACUCACU
rnacentral:lncRNA from 1 species